rnacentral:rRNA from 1 species
CUGCGGGGGGCUCCAGUGAGGAAUUUUGCGCAAUGGGGGAAACCCUGACGCAGCAACGCCGCGUGAGUGAUGAAGGCCUUCGGGUCGUAAAACUCUGUCAAGUGGGAAGAACCUGCAUGGUGCUAAUAUCGCCAUGUACUGACGGUACCACUGAAGGAAGCACCGGCUAACUCCGUGCCAGCAGCCGCGGUAAUACGGAGGGUGCAAGCGUUAUUCGGAAUUAUUGGGCGUAAAGGGCGCGUAGGCGGCCAUGUAAGUCAGAUGUGAAAGCCCGGGGCUCAACCCCGGAAGUGCAUUUGAUACUGGAUGGCUUGAGUAUGGGAGAGGGUAGUGGAAUUCCUGGUGUAGAGGUGAAAUUCGUAGAUAUCAGGAGGAACACCGGUGGCGAAGGCGACUACCUGGACCAAUACUGACGCUGAGGCGCGAAGGCGUGGGGAGCAAACAGGAUUAGAUACCCCUGUAGUC